UCUCACCUUACGGUGGCAGUCCCGAUAGAGUGCCCAACUUAAUGAUGGCAACUAACGGUAAGGGUUGCGCUCGUUAUGGGACUUAACCCGACACCUCACGGCACGAGCUGACGACAACCAUGCAGCACCUUGAAAAAAGCUCCGAAGAGAAAAUAUGUUUCCAUAUCUGACUUUUCACAUUUAAACCCGGGUAAGGUUCCUCGCGUAUCAUCGAAUUAAACCACAUGUUCCUCCGCUUGUGCGGGCCCCCGUCAAUUCCUUUGAGUUUCAUCGUUGCCGACGUACUCCCCAGGUGGCUCACUUAAUACUUUCGCUUAAUCCCGUACUGUAUAUCGCACAGAACCAGUGAGCAUCGUUUACGGCGUGGACUAC
rnacentral:misc_RNA from 1 species